CUCUUCACUUUCUUUCUUUAUAUCUCAAUUGAAGCGCGAUUGAAGAAGCAAAUCAAUGAUUUCAAUCUAGAUGAAGCCUGAAGCGAUCAAUGCACCCUCAUUCAGGUUCUAGGGUUUCAUCAAAAUCUCUAUCCAAAUCAAGCAAAUCCAUUUAGUUCUCCUUUCUCAUCACAAAAGGUAACCUCUCCAACCUCAAUCGACUAUGUUCUUUUGAGUUCUGUAUAAUGACCAUCUUUCUCUCCUUCAAAUCAAGCAAAAGUUACACAUGCGGUGUCAUUCUAGAACACCAAGAUAUCUGUGUAAAGUUAAGCACUUCGAUCAGAUCUGUAAUGGUGAGGUUUUAUAUAUCUCGGAUUUCUCAACAAACGACAACGUAUCGAUUUUAUUCAGAGAUUGUGGCCGGAAUCUGAGCCGACAUAAUGGAUGCUCUAGGGUUUAUGAAGGUUUGAUGAACUCUGCUGCGUGUACUGGCGGUAAUCAUUUGCGUAAAUUUGACGCCAUUUUUGAGGUUGUAUAUAUUAUGUUUCUUUAGUUUUGGUUAUUUUUUCAUGUUUUUGACUUUAAUUUUGUUUUGUAGAUUAAUAGAUUAUGUGAUUGUUGUUACUUGUUUUAUGGUGUUAGUGUAAUAAGCUGGCUCAUUGACAUGAUUCUUUAAGAGUUAUUUAUUUUUUAAUACAGUAGUAUAUUUAAGAGCAACUUGUGGUAUUGAUAUUACUUGCAAUUGUUGUAGAUUUUGGUUUGGUGGAUUAUAAAUGUUGUUAAUAAAGAAAUUAAAAACAGGAGUUACUGUUUUUAAUUAAUAGAUCAUACGAUUGCUAUUGUUUACUUCAUUUUAUCAGCAUAAAAAUGGUUUAGGUGGUAGGAUUCUUGAGCAGAUCGGUGGCAACUGAGAUGAGAUUCCAGCAGUACCUGGUUGUCAAGGUUGGUUCCGACAACCUGAUUUUGAUUUAGCGGCCACAGGUAUCUUUUUCGAGAACGAAGUUCUGGAGGCUUUAAUGAUGAUUCCAACAGCUGCAGUAGCCAUUUGUGACACCGCGAGAGGCUAUUAGAGAUUAAGAGCAAAUCAUUAAAGAAAUCAAACAACUUGAAGCCAACAGGGAUUAGGUUGUUGCAAAUACCUACUAUGAGGACUGGAGUUAAAAAAUCUGCUGUUGAAAGAGAUGUCAUUCAAGACCAGGUCAAAUUCAUUUAUAGCUUGAAUGUACUUCAUUUCAACUUAUAAGCUGCCAAGAAGCACCUUCAAACAGCACUACCUCUGAAUGUAGUUCUUUCUUUUUAUUUUUUUGCAUUUAAACCCAUCGCAGGUUCAAAAACUGUGCUUUUUUACAUUGGCAUUCGAGACCUUUAUAGGUGAAUUUGUUUGGGUUGAUGUUGGGCGGAAUGGCUUUGAAAAGCUUGAUGUCCCAAUUUUUGUAUGUCAUUCGUCUUAAAAAUAUAGUAAUCAAUUACUGCUUA